CAGCACCUCAAGUGGUCAGGAUGAUUAUUGGGCCUAAAGCAUCCGUAGCCGGCUCUGUAAGUUUUCGGUUAAAUCUGUACGCUUAACGUACAGGCUGCCGGGAAUACUGCAGAGCUAGGGAGUGGGAGAGGUAGACGGUACUCGGUAGGAAGUGGUAAAAUGCUUUGAUCUAUCGAUGACCACCUGUGGCGAAGGCGGUCUACCAGAACACGUCCGACGGUGAGGGAUGAAAGCUGGGGGAGCAAACCGGAUUAGAUACCCGGGUAGUCCCAGCUGUAAACUAUGCAAACUCAGUGAUGCAUUGGCUUGUGGCCAAUGCAGUGCUGCAGGGAAGCCGUUAAGUUUGCCGCCUGGGAAGUACGUACGCAAGUAUGAAACUUAAAGGAAUUGGCGGGGGAGCACCACAAGGGGUGAAGCCUGCGGUUCAAUUGGAGUCAACGCCAGAAAUCUUACCCGGAGAGACAGCAGAAUGAAGGUCAAGCUGAAGACUUUACCAGACAAGCUGAGAGGUGGUGCAUGGCCGUCGCCAGCUCGUGCCGUGAGAUGUCCUGUUAAGUCAGGUAACGAGCGAGAUCCCUGCCUCUAGUUGCCACCAUUACUCUCAGGAGUAGUGGGGCGAAUUAGCGGGACCGCCGCAGUUAAUGCGGAGGAAGGAAGGGGCCACGGCAGGUCAGUAUGCCCCGAAACUCUGGGGCCACACGCGGGCCGCAAUGGUAGCGACAAUUGGUUUCGAAUCCGAAAGGAUGAGGUAAUCCACAAACGCUACCACAGUUAUGAUUGAGGGCUGCCACUCGCCCUCACGAAUAUGGAAUCCCUAGUAACUGCGUGUCAUUAUCGCGCGGUGAAUACGUCCCUGCUCCUU
rnacentral:rRNA from 1 species